AUUGAACGCUGGCGGCAGGCCUAACACAUGCAAGUCGAACGAGUGGCGGACGGGUGAGUAAUGUCUGGGAAACUGCCUGAUGGAGGGGGAUCACCUCUGGAAACGGUAGCUAAUACCGCAUACUAUCGGAUGUGCCCAGAGGGGAUUAGCUAGGUGGGGGGGUAAAGGCUCACCUAGGCGACGAUCCCUAGCUGGUCUGAGAGGAUGACCAGCCACACUGGAACUGAGACACGGUCCAGACUCCUACGGGAGGCAGCAGUGGGGAAUAUUGCACAAUGGGCGCAAGCCUGAUGCAGCCAUGCCGCGUGUAUGAAGAAGGCCUUCGGGUUGUAAAGUACUUUCAGCGGGGAGGCGUUACCCGCAGAAGAAGCACCGGCUAACUCCGUGCCAGCAGCCGCGGUAAUUC
rnacentral:rRNA from 1 species